rnacentral:rRNA from 1 species
UUACACAUGCAAGUCGUACGAGAGUUUUUAACUCAAGUGGCGGACGGGUGAGUAACACGUAAGAAUUUGCCUUUAGGAGGGGGAUAACAACUGGAAACGGUUGCUAAUACCCCAUAUGCUUUUUAGUGAAAUGGGUUUCCGCCUAAAGAGAAGCUUGCGGCUGAUUAGCUUGUUGGUGAGGUAAUGGCUCACCAAGGCGACGAUCAGUAUCUGGUUUGAGAGGAUGAUCAGACACACUGGAACUGAGACACGGUCCAGACUCCUACGGGAGGCAGCAGUGGGGGAUUUUCCGCAAUGGGCGAAAGCCUGACGGAGCAAUACCGCGUGAGGGAUGACGGCCUAUGGGUUGUAAACCUCUUUUUUCAGGGAGGAAUCAAUGACGUUACCUGAAGAAUAAGCAUCGGCUAACUCCGUGCCAGCAGCCGCGGUAAGACGGAGGAUGCAAGUGUUAUCCGGAAUCACUGGGCGUAAAGCGUCUGUAGGUGGUCAAAUAAGUCAACUGUUAAAUCUUGAGGCUUAACCUCAAAAUCGCAGUCGAAACUAUUAGACUAGAGUAUAGUAGGGGUAAAGGGAAUUUCCAGUGGAGCGGUGAAAUGCGUAGAGAUUGGAAGGAACACCGAUGGCGAAGGCACUUUACUGGGCUAUUACUAACACUCAGAGACGAAAGCUAGGGUAGCAAAUGGGAUUAGAUACCCCAGUAGUCCUAGCUGUAAACAAUGGAUACUAGAUGUUGAACAGAUCGACCUGUGCAGUAUCAAAGCUAACGCGUUAAGUAUCCCGCCUGGGAAGUAUGCUCGCAAGAGUGAAACUCAAAGGAAUUGACGG